rnacentral:rRNA from 1 species
GACAUAGGUUGCGAACGUUAUCCGGAAUUAUUGGGCGUAAAGAGCGUGUAGGCGGCCAGGUAGGUACGUUGUGAGAACUGGAGGCUUAACCUCCAGCUGUCGAUGGAAACCAUCUGGCUAGAGUCCGGAAGAGGAGAGUGGAAUUCCUGGUGUAGCGGUGAAAUGCGCAGAUAUCAGGAAGAACACCCGUGGCGAAGGCGGCUCUCUGGGACGGUACUGACGCUGAGACGCGAAAGCGUGGGGAGCGAACAGG